rnacentral:rRNA from 1 species
CAUGUCUUUUUGAUAAUAAUUUAAAGUCUAACCUGCUCAAUGAUUAUUUAAAUUGCCGCAGUAUUCUGACUGUGCAAAGGUAGCAUAAUAAUUAGUUUUUUUAUUGAAAGCUGGAAUGAAUGGUUGGACAAGAAAAUUACUGUCUCUUUAUUAUUUUUUUUUGAAUUUAAUUUUUAAGUUAAAAAGCUUAAAUUUUUUUAAAAGACGAGAAGACCCUAUAGAGUUUUAUUAUUUUUAUAAUUUUUAUUUUUAGGAAUUUAAAGUUUAAAUUAUUAAAUAAAUUUGGUUGGGGUGACUGAAAGAUUUAAUAAACUCUUUUAAUUUAAAAUCAUUGAUUUGUGAAUUAUUAAUCUAUAUUUUUAAAUAUAAAAUAAAUUACCUUAGGGAUAACAGCGUUAUUUCUUUUUAGAGUUCUUAUUGAAAAAGAAGUUUGCGACCUCGAUGUUGGAUUAAAAUUUAUUUUAGGUGUAGAAGCUUAAUAAUUAAGUCUGUUCGACUUUUGAAAUUUUACAUGAUCUGAGU